CAACUUUCAGCAGUGGAUGUCUAGGCUCGCACAUCGAUGAAGAACGCUGCGAACUGCGAUACGUAAUGCGAAUUGCAGGAUUCAGUGAGUCAUCGAAAUUUUGAACGCAUAUUGCACUUC
rnacentral:rRNA from 1 species